CUGGAAACGCUUGACCAUCCAUAGAAGUGGCUUGGAGCCACAAAAGCCCUGUCUCUUCAAACACGUUUUGCAUUCUUCACACUACAGCACUAAAGAAAGAUCAGAAUCCCUCAGCAUAGUACAAUUCUGCAAUACAGCGACCGGGUUGGUCGUGCUGCUAAGACACCUUGUCCAAAGAUCUGCAGCUCUUGCUCUUUGCUGAAGACAAAAGGCCGAUGAGUCGGUUCCAGCAGAGGCAAACCAAAUCUAAGCACUGACAGGGCUGCAGAGCAAAAUGGCCCCGCAAUGGGGCCUCGUGGCCCCGGGGGCCGCCAUGCCGGCCACCGCAGCGGCCGUUGGGGACGCCACGAGCCUCUGUGAUGGCAGUUGGAGCACAGCUGUGCCAGCUGCGCCAUCGCUCCGAGAGAAGAGGCCGCAGACGACAGCGCCGGAUCGACGCGAAGAAGAGAGAGGAGGCUCAGGGACCCCCUGGGAUGGCUCCGCCGCCCAAACGGCGGCUGCCUGGCGGGAGCAGCAGCACCGCCCACAGGCAGGAGGAGCCCAUGGAGAUUGACCCACCCCGGGAAGAGGCGGAGCCCAUGGAGGUGGAUCCGCCUCGGCAGGAGGAGGAGGCGAUGGAGGUGGAUCCGCCUCAGGCAGGGCUGCUGGGGCCCAGCACCAGCAUGGCCGGACCGCCUCCGGCGCCGCAGUGCCCUAAGCGCCGCAGGACGGCCGGGGGCUCUCCCAGAGCCCCCAAACAGGCGCCUGGCCGCAAGCGGCGCCGCCCCCGCAGCCGCCACUAGCCACCUCCGGGGGAUGGGCCGGACCAGCAGCCGCUCUGGAGCCACAGGUGAGCCCGGCUUCCCAGCCCGCACCCCCGGCCCUCAUGCCGGGGCAUCUCCUCUGCCCUGGGGCCUGGGGAAGAGGCGAGGAGGGUCGCUGCCAUCUUCUGCUCGGCAGCCCCAGAGCACCGGGAGGAGUCCUCAGGAGCCACCACACAGCGGGGGACAGCGCCACAGACGCCAGGACACCCGAGGACAGCGCUGGAGCUUGCCUUCAAGGCAAAAGAAGCCCACUGGAGACCGCCAGAGACCGUCGGGGACAGAAGGACACCGUGGGAUCUGCACCUUGCCUUAUAAAAGGAGAAGUGUGGAGACUUGGAGACGAAACCUGACGAGGCUCGGUCAGGAAUUCUUGACAGGACUACCGGAAGGAGUUUUUGAAGGUCAGAGGCAUUUGGGCACUCUCGGCAGUCCGGGAGAUGGCUCCGGCUCAAGGUAGGACAGGGUAGGAUAGGCUAGGGCUUGGGCAGGUCCUGGGGGGCGUGAGCAGCCUGUGGGACGAGGAGCCAGGUCUGGCUCACAUGCUCAGGGAACAGCCGAUCGCCAGCACUGGGGUCAGGAAGGAAUUUUUUCCCCCGGGGCAGAUUGGCACUGGUCCCCGGGGGUUUUUUGCCUUCCUCUGCAGCACUGAGCACGACCACUUUGCAGAGCUCCUCUGGGCCCUUUUGGCUCGGUUCCUGCCCGCUGCUCAAGCACCAGGAAGAUGGCCUCUCGUGCCCCGCAGCUGGGGGGAGGAAGGCUUUUUUGCCUUCCUCUGCAGCGCUGAGCACGGCCCCUUCCCACGGCUGAUUUGGGCCAUUUGGGCUGGGCGCCUGCUGCUCCACCAGUUGGCCCUAAACUUAGCUAGAACAGCCUACCUAAACCAGCACAGAACAACUCACCUAAACCAACCUUAAACAACCUAAACCAGUCUGCCUUCAAAAACUUCAAUCAGCCACCUACAACCUAAGCAGAACCUUAAACAAUCUACGACAAAUUACCUAAACCAACCUAAACCAAACAAAAGAAACCAACCUAAACACCCUAAAACAA